CCUACGGGAGGCAGCAGUGGGGAAUCUUGCGCAAUGGGCGAAAGCCUGACGCAGCAACGCCGCGUGCGGGAAGAAGGCUUUCGGGCUGUAAACCGCUUUCAGCAGGAACGAAAAUGACGGUACCUGCAGAAGAAGGAGCGGCCAACUAUGUGCCAGCAGCCGCGGUGAUACAUAGGCUUCAAGCGUUGUCCGGAUUUAUUGGGCGUAAAGAGUUCGUAGGCGGUCAAGUAAGUCGGGUGUGAAAAUUCUGGGCUCAACCCAGAGACGCCACCCGAUACUGCUUAACUUGGGUUCGAUAGGGGAGUGGGGAAUUCCUAGUGUAGCGGUGAAAUGCGCAGAUAUUAGGAGGAACACCGGUGGCGAAGGCGCCACUCUGGAUCGAUACUGACGCUGAGGAACGAAAGCAUGGGUAGCAAACAGGAUUAGAUACCCUGGUAGUCCAUGCCGUAAACGGUGGGCACUAGGUGUGGGUUUCUAUUAACGAAAUCCGCGCCGUCGCUAACGCAUUAAGUGCCCCGCCUGGGGAGUACGGUCGCGAGACUAAACUACAAUAGAAUAGACGGCGNGAGACGUGCCGAACGGACGACGACGAGGGAGGUAGG
rnacentral:rRNA from 1 species